rnacentral:rRNA from 1 species
AACGAACGCUGGCGGCGUGCCUAACACAUGCAAGUCGAGCGCGAAAGUCCCCUCGGGGGCAAGUAGAGCGGCGGACGGGUGAGUAAUACGUGGAUAAUCUUCCCUCGAGCUUGGGAUAACCCUGCGAAAGUGGGGCUAAUACCGGAUAAGACCACAUGGCAUAUGUCAUGGGGUAGAAGGUGGCUUAUAUUUAUAUGAGCUAUCACUUGAGGACGAGUCCAUGGCCUAUCAGCUUGUUGGUGAGGUAAGAGCUCACCAAGGCUAUGACGGGUAGCUGGUCUGAGAGGACGACCAGCCACACUGGGACUGAGACACGGCCCAGACUCCUACGGGAGGCAGCAGUGGGGAAUAUUGGGCAAUGGGCGCAAGCCUGACCCAGCGACGCCGCGUGGGUGAUGAAGGCCUCGGGUUGUAAACCUUUACGUGCGGAAGAACAGCCUGUAGUUAAUAUCUGCAGGGUUUGACGGUACCGCAGGAAGAAGCACCGGCUAACC